UCUUUUGCUGCUUACAUGUUCUAUAUAUAGAAAGAGAGUUUUUCUCAAUGUAUAUCCACCUAGAAUUUUGGGGCAGUGAUGAAUUCACAACCAGAGAAGGCCCUUUUUGGGGUCCAUGAGAUUGCUCCCUCAAGAAGAAAUGGAAUUGUAAAGCUAAGAAAGAGAGAGAAACCCAUCCUUGUGUUAAAAAAAGAGAGAGAGAGAUGACCAUCCUUCAAUGUAUUUCGCAUCAAACAUGCCUGUAAAUGUCAAAUGGAUGGUUGUUGGCCCCUUAGUUGCUCAGACUUUAUAAUCUUCUUAGGUGAAGCUGCUAAAACUUGGGGGUGGAGUCCCCCACCACUGACUGGAUUAAAAAUACGAUCUAUUGUUAUCUUGACACUUCGACAAGUUACGGGGUCGGUCGACACGUGAUGACACAUCACUGUGUUCGACACACUUGCAAUGUAUUUUGCAUCAAACAGGCCUGUAAAUGUCAAAUGGAUGGUUGUUGGCCCCUUAGUUGUUGGAUGGUUGUUGGCCCCUUAGUUGUUCAGACUUUAUAAUCUUCAUAGGUGAAGCUGCUAAAACUUGGGGGUGGAGUCCCCCACCACUGACUGGAUUAAAAAUACGAUCUAUUGUUAUCUUGACACUUUGACAAGUUACGGGGUCGGUCGACACGCUGUAUUUGACACACUUUCAAUACAAGUCUGUCUCCCCAUUUUUUUUAAUAUGGCAUCGACACUUUCAAUACAAGUGUCAUAUUGUAUAACUUGGGAGACUUCCCCCCAAUUUAU
rnacentral:lncRNA from 1 species